rnacentral:rRNA from 1 species
UACAGAGGUCCCAAGCGUUGUUCGGAUUCACUGGGCGUAAAGGGUGCGCGGGUGGGUUGGCAAGUUUGAUGUGAAAGCCCCGGGCUUAACCCGGGAAUGGCAUUGAAUACUGCUGAUCUGGAGGAUCGGAGGGGGGACUGGAAUUCUUGGUGUAGCAGUGAAAUGCGUAGAUAUCAAGAGGAACACCAGUGGCGAAGGCGAGUCCCUGGACGAUACCUGACACUGAGGCACGAAAGCCGGGGGAGCAAACAGG